AGUGCGGACGGGUGAGUACGCUAGAUCUGUCUAUUGUUUGGACACACGGGAAACCGUGCUAUACGGAUAAGUCUAAGGAAGAAAGCGGGGUAUUUAUAUCUCGUGGCGAUUGGUGAGCCUGGUGGAUACUGGUUGGUGGGUAAAGGCUACAGGGAGAUCAUAGCUGUUCUGAGAGGAAGUAUCAGCCACACUGGGACUGAGACACGGCCCAGACUCCUACGGGAGGCAGCAGUGGGGAAUAUUGGACAAUGGGCGCAAGCCUGAUCCAGCAAUACCGCGUGUGUGAAGAAGGCCUGAGGGUUGUAAAGCACUUUCGACGAGGAGGAAGGUAUAAUGCUAAUACCAUUGUUAUUUGACGUUCUCGUAAAAAAGGCACCGGUUAACUCUGUGCACAGCCGCGGUAAUACAGGAGGGUGCAAGGCGUUAAUCGGAAUUUACUGGGCGUAAAGAGUGCUUAAGGGGGGAUUAAUUAGUCCUUUUUGUUUGAAAAGCCCCCGGGGUUUUAAACCUGGGGACUGGCUUUCCUGAAUACUGGUUUUCAAAGUUUGGGUCAAGGAUAUGGGAAUUCCUUGGGGUGUACGGAAAUUUGUGUUUAAAAUC
rnacentral:rRNA from 1 species